rnacentral:rRNA from 1 species
AACGAACGCUGGCGGCAUGCCUAACACAUGCAAGUCGAACGAGAUCUUCGGGUCUAGUGGCGCACGGGUGCGUAACGCGUGGGAAUCUGCCCUUUGGUUCGGAAUAACAGUUGGAAACGACUGCUAAUACCGGAUGAUGACGAAAGUCCAAAGAUUUAUCGCCAGAGGAUGAGCCCGCGUAGGAUUAGCUAGUUGGUGUGGUAAAGGCGCACCAAGGCGACGAUCCUUAGCUGGUAUGAGAGGAUGAUCAGCCACACUGGGACUGAGACACGGCCCAGACUCCUACGGGAGGCAGCAGUGGGGAAUAUUGGACAAUGGGCUAAAGCCUGAUCCAGCAAUGCCGCGUGAGUGAUGAAGGCCUUAGGGUUGUAAAGCUCUUUUACCCGGGAUGAUAAUGACAGUACCGGGAGAAUAAGCUCCGGCUAACUCCGUGCCAGCCGCCGCCGUAAAAC